rnacentral:lncRNA from 1 species
UCGGUUGGAGGCGCAGCGGCCCCGCGAGCAGACGCGCAGUGUCUUUCAGAUUUCCAAGUCUCUUCUGGUGUGCUGAGGUAUAUUUCAAUGUCUUCUCUCCACUGAGGAUGACAGGGAGGACUCACGUAGCCACAUUGGCAAUGUUCUUUCAGAAGCACUAUUUGGGAACCUUGGAGCCUCUGGAAAAUGAACACCAUACCAUCCACAAUGUCAGGAUGAAAGUAGCUUCACUUCCCUGGGGUUCAUGCCAUGGACAGUGCAACCUUCAGAUGCAUGGCUGAGCAUGAUUCAUUUAAAUCCCACUUGGAACUAUUCAAACAGGUGUGUGUCUAUGCUGAUUAGUUCUCAUUUCCACACUUAAGAGAGCCCUCUAGAAUUGGAAUGGGUAUAAUAGUGGUAUUCAGCCCAUUCAAAUAUCGAUUAAUUAGCAAGUAUUCUGUGCAUUUAUACUACCAUAUUCUCGUGUGUUAAGUAAGCUUGUGUACACAUAAUAACCUCCAGCAAAAUUGACCUAUGAAGGAGAGGUUGGUUAGAAACUGAAUUCCACAGUAGCCACAUGUGUCCAAAGUAUCCC